rnacentral:rRNA from 1 species
AAGACCUUGCGCUUUUGGAGCGGCCGAUGUCUGAUUAGCUUGUUGGUAAGGUAAAAGCUUACCAAGGCUUCGAUCAGUAGCUGGUCUGAGAGGACGGCCAGCCACACUGGGACUGAGACACGGCCCAGACUCCUACGGGAGGCAGCAGUGGGGAAUUUUGGACAAUGGGGGCAACCCUGAUCCAGCCAUGCCGCGUGAGUGAAGAAGGCCUUCGGGUUGUAAAGCUCUUUCAGCCGGAACGAAACGGUUACGGUUAAUACCCGUGACCACUGACGGUACCGGAAGAAGAAGCACCGGCUAACUACGUGCCAGCAGCCGCGGUAAUACGUAGGGUGCAAGCGUUAAUCGGAAUUACUGGGCGUAAAGCGUGCGCAGGUGGUUUUGUAAGUCAGAUGUGAAAUCCCCGGGCUUAACCUGGGAACU